rnacentral:rRNA from 1 species
UACGUAGGUGGCAAGCGUUAUCCGGAAUUAUUGGGCGUAAAGCGCGCGUAGGCGGUUUUUUAAGUCUGAUGUGAAAGCCCACGGCUCAACCGUGGAGGGUCAUUGGAAACUGGAAAACUUGAGUGCAGAAGAGGAAAGUGGAAUUCCAUGUGUAGCGGUGAAAUGCGCAGAGAUAUGGAGGAACACCAGUGGCGAAGGCGACU